rnacentral:lncRNA from 1 species
AUGAGGAUUUUUUUCCCCCUCUAUUUUAGCAUUACAAUGCUAAAAAAAAAAACCCCGAAGGAACUCGGCUUGCUGCAAGUCUAUAACAUUUCACAUUUUUUUUCUUUGCAAGCUCAAUCUCACAUGAAGAACUCAGGAGGAGAAAAAAAACUUUGCCUUUUUUUUUCCUUUUAUCUAGCAGUAGAUGGGUGGGGAGGGGGGGGAGGGGGGGGGGGGGAUAGACCGAGCCGACGAGCAGCCCGAGCGAGGGCUCCGAGAUGAAAAAAGAUUUUAAAGCCUCUGAUCCAGCAAGAAGAGUUUAAAGCAAUUGCUGAGUUUUAUAGCCCUCGUGACGUCAGGCCCAAAUGGGAAAUUGACUGGCACUCGGGGCCAAUGGGAGGCGGCGAGAGCGGCCGCGAUUAGCAUAAUAGUAUAGAAACAAGGAAACUUUUCGGAGCUGUCAAUCAGGGCCCAAUCAGCUGACUGUCAGCUGGGACCGGCCGCUUAACCCUUCCCGCGCCGCCGCCUCCGCCCGCGCCGCCCGAGAGUGAGGCCCGACGCGCAGUUGGGUGCCAGCGAGGGAAGGGACUUUUCCAGGGGUGCUGCGGGGAAGCCGGGCGGGCGGGGGGGCUGGAAUGCAGAGCGCGCGGGGGGCCCGCCUUCCCGAGCCCCAGCUCGCCCGGCGCUCCCUCUCCGGGGACUGACCUGACCCCCCCCG